CCUACGGGAGGCUGCAGUGGGGGAUAUUGCACAAUGGGGGAAACCCUGAUGCAGCGACGCCGCGUGUAGGAAGACGGUCCUCUGGAUUGUAAACUACUGUCCCCAGGGACGAAGAUGACGGUACCUGGGGAGGAAGCUCCGGCUAACUACGUGCCAGCAGCCGCGGUAAUACGUAGGGAGCGAGCGGUGUCCGGAAUUACUGGGUGUAAAGGGAGCGUAGGCGGGGAUGCAAGUUGGGGGUUAAAUCUACCGGCUAAACUGGUAGUCGCAAUUAAAACUGCAGCUCUUGAGUGAAGUAGAGGCAGGCGGAAGUCCUAGUGUAGCGGUGAAAUGCGUAGAUAUUAGGAGGAACACCAGUGGCGAAGGCGGCCUGCUGGGCUUUUACUGACGCUGAGGCUCGAAAGUGUGGGGAGCAAACAGGAUUAGAUACCCCGGUAGUC
rnacentral:rRNA from 1 species